CUCGUAGGCGGUCUUAAAAGUCAGGUGUGAAAUUAGCAGGCUCAACCUGCUAAGGUCAUCUGAAACUUUAAGACUUGAGGAUAGAAGAGGAAAGUGGAAUUCCUGGUGUAGCGGUGAAAUGCGUAGAUAUCGGGAGGAACACCAGUGGCGAAGGCGGCUUUCUGGUCUAUCUCUGACGUUGAGGAGCGAAAGCUAGGGAGCAAACG
rnacentral:rRNA from 1 species